rnacentral:rRNA from 1 species
GUGGGGAAUAUUGGACAAUGGGCGAAAGCCUGAUCCAGCCAUGCCGCGUGUGUGAAGAAGGUCUUCGGAUUGUAAAGCACUUUAAGUUGGGAGGAAGGGCAGUAAGUUAAUACCUUGCUGUUUUGACGUUACCGACAGAAUAAGCACCGGCUAACUACGUGCCAGCAGCCGCGGUAAUACGUAGGGUGCACGCGUUAAUCGGAAUUACUGGGCGUAAAGCGCGCGUAGGUGGUUUUGUAAGUUGGAGGUGAAAUCCCCGGGCUCAACCUGGGAACUGCCUCCAAAACUGCAUGACUAGAGUACGGUAGAGGGUAGUGGAAUUUCCUGUGUAGCGGUGAAAUGCGUAGAUAUAGGAAGGAACACCAGUGGCGAAGGCGACUACCUGGACUGAUACUGACACUGAGGUGCGAAAGCGUGGGGAGCAAACAGGAUUAGAUACCCUUGUAGUCC